GCCUGGGUGGCUCAGUCGGUUAAGCGUCUGACUUCAGCUCAGGUCAUGAUCUCACGGUCCGUGAGUUCGAGCCCCACGUCGGGCU
rnacentral:tRNA from 1 species